rnacentral:lncRNA from 1 species
UUUUUUUUUUUUUUUUUUUAUUAAAGUAUAGUUGAUUUACAGUGUUUUCAGGUGUACAGCAAAGUGAUUCAUUUACAUAUAUGUACAUAUUCUUUUUCAUAUUCUUUUCCAUUGUGGGUUAUUACAAGAUGUUGAUAUCGUUCCCAAUGCUAGACAGUAGGUCCUUGUUGUUUAUCUAUUUUAUAUACAGUAGUGUGUAUCUGCUAACCCCAAAUUCUCAAUUUAUCCCUCUCCCAUCAAUAAUUACAUGUUUUUAACUUUGCAAUUCCAGCACUAAUUCAGGGUAGGCAUCAAUAAGAGCUUAUUGGAUUGGGAAUUGGGUUUAAUUUCAUUAAACUUUUUUUUUUUUUUUUCUGAAGAAAGGGCUCAGUUACUGAAAGUGACUUCCCCAAGGUCCCUCAGGUAAGCAGGAUUUACCUGUACCAGAACCCGAGUCAGCACACCAUGCUGCUAAGCUCUGCAGACCAUACAAGGCUGCUCAAUUUGGUGUAAGUCUCUUAAAACCUGUCCUGGGCAACUGCUACAGUCUUUGCACAUAUCACUUUCCUUAGAGCAGGUAAGUGGGCUGUGUGUUGUUAGCAUAAUAGCAUCUCUUUAAUGCCUUUUGAAAGGAGCUCGGAAAACUCUUCCGUUAGAGAGGGAAGGGAAGGUGCAGGAGAAAACCUUCUCCCAAGCAGGCCUGUCUUAGCAGUACCUCCCAAGUUUCAAUGUGCAGUUUCAAGGUUUCACUACCACCAACGCGUUGCUGUGGAGACGCAGCAACAAACACUGGGAGACUGGUAACCCCUCCCCACUCCCACCCCCCACCAAGCCUAGUAAAGAAUGUUUGGGACAAGGCUCCUGCCCAUCAGGCUGCUGUUUCCCGCUGAAUGCAGCCUUUGUGACCGGCCUCCUGGCCUGCCACCAGGCUCCAAAGAGAUGACUCGGCCCAGAUCUUUCUAAAUAGUGUUUGUGUUUUAGUUGUCCACAAGGGGGUGGGGGCGGGGGAGUUCUACAUAACUGUAAGGCAACCAUCCAGCUUGUGGCUGAUUGGCAAGACAAAAAUAAUGCUGUCUCACUUUGCAAAUGCCCUAGGAGAGCCUUGCAGGAACAAGUCCAGGGAGCCCUCCCCGUGCAGGGAGCUCUGGUCUCAUAGGGUCUUUGUGACUUCAAGGCCAAAGAAGUCUGUGCGGCCACUCCCAGCUUACCGGUGAGGAAGUUCAGGCUCAAGGAGGGGCCACAAGUUGCUUCGGGGCAUCAUGCUAGCUAGUGAUGCUGCUGAGGCUGAAAUGUCCCAUCAUUAUGGAUUUUAUUGAUAUUUUUGUAAAGUUCCCUAGAUUUCUAUUGCACAAGGGCUGGCAACUUUUCAGAGCCUCUCACCUGGCUCUGUGCUGAGUCAAUUUUGGAAGAAAUAGAAUACAGUGAACCAGAGAAAUGAAGCCUUAGCUGGGAGUUUGUGUUAUUUGCUCAUGGCAACUUGAUAGGCCUCCUUAUCACGGCAGGCCAGGCAUUGUGUGAUCUUACCAGAAUGUGCAGGCCUACCAUCUGGCUCCAGCUCAGUUUGGGGGGAUGGAGGUGGUGAAGGAAACUUGACUUAAUAGCAGGUGUUACUUUGAGGGCUAGAAAGGUACCAUUGUCUCUUCUGCAAUAAACUGCCUGGUUUUCACCUGCUGGCAAGUCACAAAUUCGCUUACCAUUAAAAUACCAGGUUAUUACUUCACUAAUGUAAUAAGUCUUUAUUAAGUGCCUACUGAAGGUCAAGCACUGGGCUGGGCAUUGGGGGCAGAGAAAUGAAUAAUAUUUGUUUAACAAGUAUUGAUUGAGUGCUCUGUGCCAGGUACUAUGUUAGGCCCUGGGGACAGCACUCUUUUCCUCUCCUCAAGAGAGUUGCUUGUGCAUAAGUCAAGUAAACAGAUACUUGCACUUGUAAGUUUAAGAUGCUAGGGGAGCACUCUGAAAGGGCGUGUAAAUUAGUCUCAGUCUGUACUGUUCACCUUAGGAGCCAGCAGCCACUUGAAAUGUGCCUGGUCUGAAUGGAGAUGCUUGUACAUGUAAAACACACACUGCAUUUCAAAGUCUAAGUAUGAAUGAGUGAAGUAAGUCAGACAGAGAAAGAGAAAUAGCAUAGGAUAUCACUUAUAUGUGGAACUGAGAGAAAUGAUGCGGAGAUACUAAUUUAUAAGACAGAAAUAAACUCACAGACAUAGAAAACACACUUAUAGUUACCAAAGAGGAAGGAGGGGAGGAGGAGAGAUAAUGGGAAUUGGCAUUAACAGAUCCACACUGCUGUAUGUGAAAUAGAUAAAUAGCAAGGCCUUACUAUACAGCACAAGGAGCAACAUUCAAUACUUGUAAUAACCUAAAAUGGAAAAGAUUCUGAAGAAGAAUAUGUAUACAUAUGUGUGUGUAUACAUACACACAUAUAUACGCACACAUAUAUACAUACACAUACACACACACAUAUACACACACACACACAUAUAUACACACAUAUAUACACACACAUAUACAUACACAUACACACACACAUAUAUACACACACACAUAUAUACAUACAUAUAUACACACGCAUAUACAUACACAUACACACACACAUAUAUACAUACACACAUACACACACACAUAUACAUACACAUAUACACACACAUAUACACACACACAUAUAUACACACAUAUACACACACAUAUAUACACACACAUAAAUACAUACACAUAUAUACACACACAUACACACACAUAUAUACAUACACAUAUACACACACAUAUAUACACACACAUAUACACACAUAUAUACACACACACAUACACACACAUAUAUACAUACACAUAUACACACACAUAUACACACACACAUAUAUACACACAUAUGUAUACACACAUGUACACACACAUACACACACAUAUACAUACACAUAUAUACACACACAUAUACACACACAUAUAUACAUACACAUAUACACACAUAUAUACAUACACACAUAUACACACACACACACAUAUACACACACAUAUACACACACACACAUAUAUACAUACACAUAUAUACACACACAUGCACACAUAUAUACAUACACAUAUAUACAAACACACAUAUACACAUACACAUAUAUGUAUAACUGGAUCACUUUGCUGCAUACAUGAAACAUUGUAAGUCAUCUAUAUU